CUGUUCCCAUCCCGAACACAGAAGUUAAGUCCUCCAGCGCCGAUGGUACUAUCCUGGAAACGGGACGGGAGAGUAGGACGCUGCCGAAA
rnacentral:rRNA from 1 species